rnacentral:lncRNA from 1 species
GAACACUGACAUUCUAACAACAAAAUGGACAACUCCAGUGGACCAAAAUAAGUUGACUAUACCCGAAAUGAUGGAAGAAACGGCGCAAACAUUAACCCUGAAGGGAGAAGGGAUUAGGCCUGACAGCAAGAGCCCACAAUAAAGUGAGCACGAGGUCACACAACAAUAUAUGGGGAAGAAUGAACUACAAUUAAGCCAGCAUAAUUGCAUACAAGCAACACCCUCCAAAGUACCGAACAAUAAAUCUUUGGCUCCAAGUAAUGAGGGAUCGGGAGAUGAGAACAUUGGAACAGCUCACUCGAGCAGUCUUAAAACUCACACUGGAAGUAAAACACAUAAGAAAUUACCAUGGAUUCCCAAGCCUGAGAAAUCAGGCUGACCCCCAAGAUGUAAGACCUGGAGUUUCUAAGGAAGAGAAGAGUCAUAUGUCUUUUGGCUUCAUUAUGGUGACAAAGACAGUUCUGGACGCCUUGCCCAUGCUUGGUACCUGCUAACCUAUUGACUCGAAUACAUGCGGUCUAUAUACACGGGCUCUCCUUUGCUUAUACAACCCAAAGUGAGUUGACUUUGAGGCCAGAAGCCAUAGACUUGAAAGGUAAAGUCAGAGACAAAUGAGGCUGAAGCUGUAAGGACAAAGGAAAUUAGGGGACCCUUGCUUACCUCAGAUACAGAGCAGGUAUGUGUUAGAAAUGUUUGUGCUUACUAAUUAAAUACAUUUCAUUUCCUCUUACAUCUUUUUUGCUUAACUAAGGAGAAAAUGUGCAUUAUUUAUAGGAACUAAACAUAAUGAAAACACAAAGAAAAGGAACCAUUUUGAUUCAAAUCUUGGCAAAUAUCCAACUUGCAAUAACUUGAAGAUUUAAUAUUAUUACGUGCACACACACACAAAAAUAAAGCCUAAUGCUCAUCCA